GUUUAGGAGCACGCAGUAACCCCCCAACCCUGCAGUUCGAAAGCUGCAUAUAACAUCACAUACUUAGGAAUGAAGAAUUAUCUCUGGAAUACAACACACUUACAUUAUAAACUGUUUAGAGAAAGGACACAACAACUCAUAAGGCUCAAGUCCAUUGACCUGGAUGGGUCUCCGUGUUAUGAACUCUUCACUCAGGUUCAUUUCUGAUUUGAGCCUCUGGGGGAAGGGGCGUGGCCCCUGAGUGACAGGAUUUCCCUGGGGCUUGGCAGGGACAGUGACAUCUCAGAAGGACUCCCUGGAGAGCCCCUGUCCCCUCUCAUCUACACACACUCCAGAGGGCCCUCCACCUGCCCCGCCCCUGCCAUGAGCCCCUGCCUCCUGGGCUGUGUGGUCUUCUGUCUCCUGCAGGCAGGGGCGGUCCAUGCUGGGGUCACUCAGGACCCCAGAUUCCAGGUCGUGAGGACAGGACAGAACGCGACACUGACAUGUACUCAGGAUCUGGAUCAUGACCGCAUGUACUGGUACCGACAAGACCUGGGACAUGGGCUGAGGCUGAUCCAUUACUCAGCUGGUGCGCACACUAGCGAGCCAGGAGACAUGCCCGACGGGUACAGUGUCUCCAGACCAAGCACAGAGAACUUUCCUCUCACACUGAAGUCUGCCAACCGCUCCCAGACAUCUGUGUACUUCUGUGCCAGCAGUUACUCCACGGUGCUGCACGGCCACCUCCUUUCUGUGCAAAAAAGCAGAUGAGGGCCCCGCAGCCUGGAACCUGGGGAGCCCCUUACAGGCUCCUAGCACCUGGAGACUCGGAGCCCACAGACACAUACUGGCAGCAUAGCCAGCGAUGUUUGAUCUUCCUGGCACGGACCUGACAACAGGGCCUCGUGGACAUGUGUCUACCCUCACUCUCUGUCUUUUCACUCUAGCUGCCACGUGAGCCUAAAGAUGCUUCCCAGCUCUGACUGCUAGUCAUCAGUCUGAACAUGAGGCUUCCAGGAGGGAAGGUUGUUGGGAAAUGAGAUACAUCUAGACCCUCUUGUCUCUCCCCAGGCACCGCAUGCCUGUCACUAUGGAUGGUUCCCCCCAGGCUGGCCCUUGAGUGGUCUCUGCUCUUGUCCAACUUCCCCAGAUGUGGGCCUUUCUCUCCCACCUUCCUGGCCCUCAUUCCCACCCUUCUCUACUUCAGCCUUGCUGCUCCUCCCUCAACGGGGUCAUGUCCUUGCCCAUCACCCAGGGAACCUUGUAAUGAUCCCUAACUGGGCGUGUUUGAGUAGGUUCUCUAGGGUUCUCAAAGAGAAUGUAACCUCAGUUAAUUAUUAAUCAUCCAAAAUUCCUUGGUCAUCCCUGAGGAGGAGAAACAAGCUGUGUGUGUAUGUAUUCUCCACCAUGGCCUGUCUUUCGCAUCUAAA